rnacentral:tRNA from 1 species
GGAGAGAUGUCAGAGUGGUCGAAUGAGACGGUCUUGAAAACCGUUGUACGGGUUACCGUACCGUGGGUUCGAAUCCCACUCUCUCCG